UGCCUGUUUUUACCUCAGUAAAGUCUACCUCCCAAUAGGCUCCUGGCACCGUUCCUCUUUCCCUCCUUCCUUUGACAGCUACUCCACCAGCAGCAUUUGUCCUCUGGCAUGGCACACACCGGCUGGUAAUAUCCUCUAGCAUUUUGUCCAUUUCAGGUAUAUAGUAGAACCGGCGGAUUAAUUCCGCUAGCUUGCUCUUUCCUAGAUGGGUUCCCUGGUGUAUUUGCUUAAUGAGAGUCUGCUCCAACAUUUGGGAGAAG